GGGGGUGGAGGUUUGGGAGGAAGAUGAUAAAAUUUUAGGGUGGGAUUCUUACAUACUUUGUUUUAUAUAUAAUUAACAUUUAGCUCUUUGUGUGUAUACGCCCUUCGUGGAAACCAGUUGUAAAUAAUUGUCGAAGUUAGCGUAUUGAAAUAAAGUUUUACAUACAUACAUACAUACUCAAUAAUACUCAAUAGCUAUGUUUUCAUUUAACCGUUGUGUGAUAUCACGACUGGGUAAUUAAACCAACAUACUGCUAUUGGUUGGUUGGGCGAAGAAACAAUACACACGUGACGAUGAGCCGACCAUUUUUUGCAUAAACCAAGACAGAAAUAUAGAUCGAUAAUGAGGUCUAUAUCAUGUCUGCAGUCUGCAUUGAGUUAUAACCUUCUUCUUCUAUUGACUGUGGUUUCAGUAUUUCUGCAAAUGAUCUAUACUUAUAGGCCUUUAAUUGCAGCCACAGACAAAUAAACUUGACUGAACUCGACUGUACGGUGUAUUGUAUAGUCCUAUCCUUGCCUUAAUGAGCACUCUCAUAAUGUUUCUUCACGGGC